CAUCUGCUCUUUUGAUUCUCGAAGUUCUCAUCUUCCUCUCGAAGGUUCUGGUUCUGGUUUGUGUCGACUCUCUGUGAACCUCUGGUUUGCAGUGCUUUGGUUGUGAAAAUAUUUGAAUCUGUGGAAGCCAUGGUUGCAUAUGAGGAUUUUGGUGCUCAGAGGUUUAAUCGACAGUAGUUUAAGAGGGAUCUGGAUAUUUGUAUGGUAAAGUCUUGAUUUAAGGCUUUGGUGGAAGCUCUUACCUUCGAUUGAGUUUUAAGGUAUUUUGUUUCUAUAGACCUUUGAUAUUC